rnacentral:lncRNA from 1 species
UGAAGUGGUAUUUCUAUCAGCCCACCGUCAUUUAUCCUUCUUAUAGAGUCAUCUUACAUUAGCCCUGCUUCUUUGUUAAAGAGGACGACGAUGGUUAUGUUGGGGAGAACCAAAAGGCAUAAAGGGUCCCGAGGUACAGCACACAGAAGGGAAACGGCAUUCACUGCGUGAUCAUGGCAAUCGCAGCUUU